UUCCUUUCCCAGCUCUCACAGCUGCAUUGUCCAGAGCUAACAGUAGAGCUUCCUCAAGAAUGGUAAUUGGUGUGAUUUAUCAUGGCUGUGUCUUCCGAUGUCGUCCGAAUUCCAAGACGGGUUGGUUGUGCCCUUUUUUCCUAGGGUUUUCUCAUCUGCUUUUUUCAUUUCCAUUUUCUGAAAUUGGUUGUGCCCUUGAACCCGUUCCCCUUUUUGAGCUCCUUCCUCUCACCGCCUUCUCUGGCCAGCUUGAUUGCGAGCUUGGUUUCAUCUUCUUCGUGCGUUUUAAGCUCGGUCUCCCCGAGUUUCUUUUACUGGUGCAUUUUUCCUCUGCGUAUUUGCUGCGUAUCCUUUUUUCCUUUGAUUUUGCUUUUCUCGUUGGCUUGUGAAGGCCACCGAAUUUCUCAUUUUCUCUUAAAUGUGGUCUCAAACAACCUUUUCCAUUCCAAAUCUGGGCGGCUCCGCAGAACCCUAAUCCACAGUUAAGGAGGGAAAACGUAAGAAGAAUCAGCAGCGAUGGCGGUGCCUUUGCUUUUGAAGAAGACAGUGAAGAAAAGGGUCAAGAAGUUCAAGCAACCCCAGAGCGACCGAAAAAUCUCCGUCAAGGUUAUUUUACUGGUUUUCAUCCUAGCCUUGUGCAUUCGGCUUUGGAAUCUAUAGCAAAGGAAUGGCUACUGCUACUCCUUCGGGUGUUGGUAUUGCCUCCCACGUGAUCUCUCCCUGUCGAUCCAUCUCUCAUCUAUUGUGCUUGUUUCUCCUGAUGUUGAGGCAAACCUCCUUGAUAGUUGGUGUCGAAGCUGAGAAGCUAAUUGGUGUAAGCGCGCUUGACAUGUUUGAGGCUGCUGACGAUGAGGCUAUGUGUUGCUCUAUUCUCAUGCAUAGAUACCUGAACUUGGAGAUUUGCAUAGAUACCUGAGCUGACGAUGAGGCUAUGUGUAGCCAGACCUUUAAGUUGUACCAUCGUGUGGCUUGUCGAAUUGAACGAACCAGGCUCCUAUGCUAUUUUAAGCGUUCAUCCGAUGUGAUCAACAAAGUGACGUGCACUAAAUACGCUGUUGUUGCUUGCUACCAGUUUAGAGAGGUUGUUUUUGGAUGCUUAUUUCUUGUGCAAAUUUUGUCAGCUCGUGAACUUCUUUGAGCUUGUAGCGGCGUCGGUAUUAGUUUUGAGGCUUAUAUGCUGUUGAUACUAAUAGUAGUAUUUAGUGGUUCUGUUCUUUUUAAAAAAUUUGAUUUGGGAUGCUCUGUUAUGCUGCCAGCUCAGAGCCUUUCUUCUUGGGCUGAGUUCUUAGGCAGCAGUAGUAUUUGGAAUAGUGAUAUGUAGACUGUAGACCACAUGUUUGUUACUUUAGACAAUUCAUUCACUGGACAAUUACUAGACUUUGUUUUGUUUCUGCGUA